AUUGAACGCUGGCGGCAGGCCUAACACAUGCAAGUCGAACGAGUGGCGGACGGGUGAGUAAUGUCUGGGAAACUGCCCGAUGGAGGGGGAUAACUACUGGAAACGGUAGCUAAUACCGCAUACCAUCGGAUGUGCCCAGAUGGGAGUAGCUAGUAGGUGGGGUAACGGCUCAACUAGGCGACGAUCCCUAGCUGGUCUGAGAGGAUGACCAGCCACACGGGAACGGAGACACGGUCUAGACUCCGACGGGAGGAAGCAGUGGGAAUUAUGUCACAAGGGGCGCAAGCCGGAUGCAGCCAUGCGGUGUGUAUGAAGAAGUCCUUCGGGUUGGAAAGUACUUUCAGCGAGGAGGCGUUACUCGAAGAAGAGGCAUCGGCUAACUCCGUGCCAGGAGCCGCGGUAAUAC
rnacentral:rRNA from 1 species